UGAAUAAAUUCAACUUACGCCAUAAAAUUGCGUUAGUUCAACUUAUUAAGCAAAAGAUCGAAAAAGAAAAUUGCAAUACUGACAGCUGGACAGUGGCUGUCGUUAGUCUGUCUCACAGCUUCGGACUAUUUGUCAUUCAUUGCGUAUACGCAAUCAAAUUUGAGCGCAUAUUGAUUUUGGCCAAAGGAAACCUCAUCAUUAUUUGGCUGCCAGCUGUGACAAUGCUGGCCAUCGUUUUAGCGCCACACACACACAGACACAGACACCGAGAGAGUGAGUUGUGGUAACUGCCAACGUUUAUGGCCAAUAUGCAUGCAUAUGCAGAGCGUGGCAGCGUGUCGACACCGAUAUCACCAAUAUUGACAUCGACUCCUUUCGCUGAUAUCAUCAUCGCAGUGAAAUACACCCACCGACCCACCCACCCAUCCAGUCGUCGUCGUUGUGGUGCUACUGUUUGACUUUUAUGACAACAAACAAAUAAAGGAAACUAACUCACGCACACGCAACCACCGAGUGGAGAGAAGAGCUCAGCUCAGCGCCAACCCCGUGAAUGUUUUUGAAUGCUUUCACAUGCGAAUGGAAUGCGAGGGGGCGUGUGCGGGGGGCUUUGCGCCACACCCUGUUUGACCCACACACACAUACAUACACACACACACACACACACACGCACCCAAAAAUCCACCCCCGCAGCAGCUGGAAAUAGACCCUGGAAAAUGUUCGUUGUGUAACUUUGGCGUUUUUUUUUGUUGCUGUUGCCGAUGAUGAUCCUGCAACAGCAGUGGCAGCAAGCAGUAAGCAGCAAGUGGCAAGUGGCAAGUGGAAAAGGUGUGCCACUGUAAACGAGUCGCGGAAAAAUCUGAAAUCAGGCCAUGGUGUCAUGAGGAAAACCCAGUCGGCAACAACCAGAAAAUA